rnacentral:rRNA from 1 species
GACGAACGCUGGCGGCGUGCUUAACACAUGCAAGUCGAACGGAAAGGCCCUGCUUUUGUGGGGUGCUCGAGUGGCGAACGGGUGAGUAACACGUGAGUAACCUGCCCUUGACUUUGGGAUAACUUCAGGAAACUGGGGCUAAUACCGGAUAGGAGCUCCUGCUGCAUGGUGGGGGUUGGAAAGUUUCGGCGGUUGGGGAUGGACUCGCGGCUUAUCAGCUUGUUGGUGGGGUGGUGGCUUACAAAGGCUUUGACGGGUAGCCGGCCUGAGAGGGUGACCGGCCACAUUGGGACUGAGAUACGGCCCAGACUCCUACGGGAGGCAGCAGUGGGGAAUAUUGCACAAUGGGCGGAAGCCUGAUGCAGCAACGCCGCGUGCGGGAUGACGGCCUUCGGGUUGUAAACCGCUUUCGCCUGUGACGAAGCGUGAGUGACGGUAAUGGGUAAAGAAGCACCGGCUAACUACGUG